AUCACAAGAACAAAACAAAAUGAACACCCCUCUCUUCUGCCGCUCUCCUCUGUAAAACACACAUCUCCAAUUGAUGAAAGCCCCCAGCCACCCACAUCCUCUCAAAAGCCCGUAUAAGAACACAACUUCUACACACGAACCUUCGUUCCUGACUGUAGAGCGAGCCCACCUGCCCAUGGAAGGAUGGAGAGGCCUGAAUGCCCCUCAGCCAUGGCCUGUGCCCAGUCUCACAGCCCCUCCCUGGUACCACAUUGAUAGACACUCUGGGAGAGAGCCUGGACACAAUGGAAUCGCCGCCCAGGCAGUCAGGAUUGAAGGCAUUCCUGUUGACAAGCUAUGCUGGAG